rnacentral:rRNA from 1 species
AACCCUUGACAUCCCUGUCGCGGUUACCAGAGAUGGUUUCCUUCAGUUCGGCUGGACAGGAGACAGGUGCUGCAUGGCUGUCGUCAGCUCGUGUCGUGAGAUGUUCGGUUAAGUCCGGCAACGAGCGCAACCCACAUCCUUAGUUGCCAGCAGUCCGGCUGGGCACUCUAGGGAAACUGCCCGUGAUAAGCGGGAGGAAGGUGUGGAUGACGUCAAGUCCUCAUGGCCCUUACGGGUUGGGCUACACACGUGCUACAAUGGUGGUGACAGUGGGUUAAUCCCCAAAAGCCAUCUCAGUUCGGAUUGUCGUCUGCAACUCGACGGCAUGAAGUCGGAAUCGCUAGUAAUCGCGGAACAGCAUGCCGCGGUGAAUACGUUCCCGGGCC